rnacentral:rRNA from 1 species
AUACGUAGGGUGCAAGCGUUGUCCGGAAUUAUUGGGCGUAAAGAGCUCGUAGGCGGUUUGUCGCGUCUGCUGUGAAAUCUGGGGGCUCAACCCCCAGCCUGCAGUGGGUACGGGCAGACUAGAGUGCGGUAGGGGAGAUUGGAAUUCCUGGUGUAGCGGUGGAAUGCGCAGAUAUCAGGAGGAACACCGAUGGCGAAGGCAGAUCUCUGGGCCGUAACUGACGCUGAGGAGCGAAAGCAUGGGGAGCGAACAGGAUUAGAUACCCUGGUAGUCCAUGCCGUAAACGUUGGGAACUAGAUGUGGGGACCAUUCCACGGUCUCCGUGUCGCAGCUAACGCAUUAAGUUCCCCGCCUGGGGAGUACGGCCGCAAGGCUAAA